rnacentral:rRNA from 1 species
GUGCCAGCAGCCGCGGUAAUACGUAGGUCCCGAGCGUUGUCCGGAUUUAUUGGGCGUAAAGCGAGCGCAGGUGGUUUAAUAAGUCUGAUGUAAAAGGCAGUGGCUCAACCAUUGUGUGCAUUGGAAACUGUUAGACUUGAGUGCAGUAGAGGAGAGUGGAAUUCCAUGUGUAGCGGUGAAAUGCGUAGAUAUAUGGAGGAACACCGGUGGCGAAAGCGGCUCUCUGGACUGUAACUGACACUGAGGCUCGAAAGCGUGGGUAGCAAACAGGAUUAGAUACCCUGGUAGUCCACGCCGUAAACGAUGAGUGCUAGUUGUUUGGGGCUAUCCAGCCCUAAGUGACGCAGCAAACGCAUUAAGCACUCCGCCUGGGGAGUACGACCGCAAGGUUGAAACUCAAAGGAAUUGACGGGGGCCCGCACAAGCGGUGGAGCAUGUGGUUUAAUUCGAAGCAACGCGAAGAACCUUACCAGGUCUUGACAUACCAGUGCUAUUCUUAGAGAUAAGAAGUUACUUCGGUACACUGGAUACAGGUGGUGCAUGGUUGUCGUCAGCUCGUGUCGUGAGAUGUUGGGUUAAGUCCCGCAACGAGCGCAACCCCUAUUGUUAGUUGCCAUCAUUAAGUUGGGCACUCUAGCGAGACUGCCGGUAAUAAACCGGAGGAAGGUGGGGAUGACGUCAAAUCAUCAUGCCCCUUAUGACCUGGGCUACACACGUGCUACAAUGGUUGGUACAACGAGUCGCAAGCUAGUGAUAGCAAGCUAAUCUCUUAAAGCCAAUCUCAGUUCGGAUUGUAGGCUGCAACUCGCCUACAUGAAGUCGGAAUCGCUAGUAAUCGCGGAUCAGCACGCCGCGGUGAAUACGUUCCCGGGCCUUGUACACACCGCCCGU